rnacentral:miRNA from 1 species
AUGAGUUUGCUCUGGGUCAUCCUCACAACAACCUUGCAGGGUAGAGAUGACUUUUCCUACUUUUCUAGGUUGUUGGGGGUUGUGGAGAGGGGACAGAG